AUUGAACGCUGGCGGCAGGCUUAACACAUGCAAGUCGAGCGGGGUGAUGGUGCUUGCACUAUCACUUAGCGGCGGACGGGUGAGUAAUGCUUAGGAAUCUGCCUAUUAGUGGGGGACAACAUCUCGAAAGGGAUGCUAAUACCGCAUACGUCCUACGGGAUAGAGCAGGGGAUCACUUGUGACCUUGCGCUAAUAGAUGAGCCUAAGUCGGCUUAGCUAGUUGGUGGGGUAAAGGCCUACCAAGGCGAUGAUCUGUAGCGGGUCUGAAAGGAUGAUACGCCACACUGGGACUGAGACACGGCCCAGACUCCUACGGGAGGCAGCAGUGGGGAAUAUUGGACAAUGGGGGGAACCCUGAUCCAGCCAUGCGGCGUGUGUGAAGAAGGCCUUAUGGUUGUAAAGCACUUUAAGCGAGGAGGAGGCUCUUUUGGUUAAUACCCAAGAUGAGUGGACGUUACUCGCAGAAUAAGCACCGGCUAACUCUGUGCCAGCCGCCGCGGUAA
rnacentral:rRNA from 1 species